AACAUAGCUUAUUGAAAAUUGAUAAUAAGUGUGUUCUGCCCAGUGAUAUUUCAACGGCCGCGGUACCCUGACCGUGCAAAGGUAGCAUAAUCACUUGCCUUUUAAUUGGAGGCUAGAAUGAAUGAAUAAACGUGGGCCUACCUUUUCCAUAUUUUUCUAUAAAAAUUAUUCUUCAGGUGAAGAAACCUGAAUUUCCUAAAAAGACAAGAAGACCCUAUCAAGCUUCAUAUUCUUUGGGCCCUGCCCUAAAGGAUGUUUGGUUGGGGCGACUAAUGGAGAAACUUUAUCCUCCAUAAAACGUAAGAAAAAUCAUUCCUUUCACUUAAACAUUUAAAACAAAAAAGCUACUGUAGGGAUAACAGGCUAAUACUUUCUAAGAGUUCAAAUUAAAGAAAGUGAUUGGCACCUCGAUGUUGGCUUAGGGUUCCUUUAUCCUGCAGAAGGGAUUAUAGGUAGUUUGUUCAACUAUUAAUUCCCUACUUGAUC
rnacentral:rRNA from 1 species